rnacentral:hammerhead_ribozyme from 1 species
AUCCAGCUGACGAGUCUCAAAUAAGACGUAACAUGCGUUCUAGAU